AACGAACGCUGGCGGCAUGCCUAACACAUGCAAGUCGAACGAUACCUUCGGGUCUUGUCUCGCCCGGGUUCGUUCCGCAUCGGAACCUUCCCUUAUGUUCAGCCUACCUCCCCGCAGGGGGUGCUUAUUCCGAAUGAUAUCUUCUACCCAAAGAUGUAUCGCCUCUCAUUGCGCCCGCGUUGGAUUAGCUAUUUGUUCACGUAAAAGACUACCAAGGCGACGUUCCAUAGCUGGUCUGAGAGGAUGAGCCGCCACACUGCGACUGUGACACGGCCCAGACUCCUGCGGGAGGCAGCAGUGGGGAAUAUGGGACGAUGGGCGAAAGCCUGAUCCAGCAAUGCCGCGUGAGUGAUGAAGGACUUAGGGUUGUAAAGCUCUUUUAACCGUGAAGAUAAUGACAGUACCGGGAGAAUAAGCGCCGGCUAACUACGUG
rnacentral:rRNA from 1 species